UUUUUUGGCACUGUAUUCUUUUUUUUUUAUUUUUAUUGUGCUUUAAGUGAAAGUUUACCAAUCAAGUCGAACUCUCAUACAAAAAUUUAUAAACACCUUGCUAUACACUCCUAAUUGCUCUCCCCCUAAUAGGACAGCACACUCCUUCCCUUCACUCUCUUUUCGUGUCCAUUUAGCCAGCUUCUGACCCCCUUUACCCUCUCAUUUCCACUUCAUACAGGAGAUGCCAACAUAAUCUCAUGAGUCUACUGGAUCCAAGAAGCUCAUUCUUUACCAGUAUCACUGUCUAUCCCAUAGUCCAGUCCAGUCCAGUCCCUGUCCGAAGAGUUGGCUUUGGGAAUGGUUCCUGUUUUGGGCUAACAGAAGGUCUGGGGACCAUGACCUCCGGGGUCAUUCUAGUCUCAGACCAUUAAGUCUGGUCUUUUUACAAGAAUUUGGGGUCUGCAUCCCACUGCUCUCCUGCUCCCUCAGGGGUUCUUUGCAGUGUUCCCUGUCAGGACAGUCAUCGGUUGUGCCCGGGCACCAUUCUAGUUCUUCUGAUCUCAAGCUAAUGUAGGCUCUGCUUUAUGUGGCCUUUUCUCCCUCUUGGGGUCAUAAUUACUUUGUGUCCUUGGAGUUCUUGAUUCUCCUUUGCUCCAGGUGGGUUGAGACCAAUUGAUGCAUCUUAGAUGGCCACUUGCUGGCGUUUAAGACCCCUGUCACUGCAUUCUUUUUUUUUUUUUAAUUGUGCACUAAGUGAAAACUUACAAAUCAAGUCAGUCUCUCACACAAAAACGCAUGUACACCUUGCUACAUACUCCCAGUUACUCUCCCCCUAAUGAGACAGUCCUCUUUGUCCCUCCACUCUCUCUUUUCAUGUCCAUUUCACCAGCUUCUAGCCCCCUCCACCCUCUCAUCACCCCUCCAGGCAGGAGAUGCCAGCAUAGUCUCAAGUGUCUGCCUGAUCUAAGAAGUUCACUCCUCACCAGCAUCCCUCCAACCCAUUGUCCAGUCCAAUCCAUGUCUGAAGAGUUGGCUUCGGGAAUGGUUCCUGUCCUGGGCCAACAGAGGGUCUGGGGGCCAUGACCACUGAGGUCCUUCUAGUCUCAGUCAGACCAUUAAGUCUAGUCUUUUUAUGAGAAUUUGGGGUCUGUAUCCCACUGCUCUCCUGCUCCCUCAGGGGUUCUCUGUUGUGUUCCCUGUCAGGGCAGCCAUUGGUUGUAGCUGGACACCAUCUAGUUCUUCUGGUCUCAGGAUGAUGUAGUCUCUGGUUCAUGUGGCCCUUUCUGUCUCUUGGGCUCGUAAUUACCUUGUGUCCUUGGUGCUCUUCAUUCUGCUUUGAUCCAGGCAGGUUGAGACCAGUUGAUGCAUGUUAGAUGGCUGCUUGCUAGCAUUUAAGACCCCAGAAAUCACUCUUCAAAGUGGGAUGCAGAAAGUUUUCUUAAUAGAUUAUGCCAAUUGACUGAGAUGUCCCCUGAAACCAUGGUCCCCAAACCCCUGCCUCUGCUAUACUCUGGCCUUUGAAGCAUUCAGUUUAUUCAGGAAACUUCUUUGCUUUUGGUUUAGUCCAGUUGUGCUGACCUCCCCUGUAUUGUGUGCUGUCUUUCCCUUCACCUAAAGUAGUUCUUAUCUACUGUCUAAUUAGUGAAUACCCCUCUCCUACCCUCUUUCCCUCCCCCCUCUUGUAACCACAAAAGAAUGUUUCCUUCUGUUUAAACUAUUUCUCAAGUUCUUGUAGUAGUGGUCUUGUACAAUAUUUGUCCUUCUGCAGCUGACUAAUUUCACUCAGCAUAAUGUCUUCCAGGUUCCUCCAUAUUAUAAAAUGUUUCACAGAUUCCUCACUUUUCUUUAUAGAUGUGUAGUAUUCCAUUGUGUGAAUAUACCAUAAUUUAUUUAUCCAUUCAUCCGUUGGUGGGCACCUUGGUUGCUUCAAUCUUUUUGGUAUUGUAAACAGUACUGCAGUAAACAUGGGUGUGCAUAUAUGUGUUCUUGUAAAGGCUCUUAUUUCUUUAGGAUAUAUUCCAAGGAGUGGGAUUGCUGGAUUGUAUGGUAGUUCUAUUUCUAGCUUUUUAAGGAAGUGCCAAAUUGAUUUCCAAAGUGGUUGUACCAUUUGACAUUCCCACCAGCAGUGUGUAAGUGUUCCAGUCUCUCCACAGCCUCUCCAACAUUUAUUAUUUUGUGUUUUUUGGAUUAAUGCGAGGCUUGUUGGAGUGAGAUGAAAUCUCAUUGUAGCUUUGAUCUGCAUUUCUCUAAUGGCUAAUGAUCGAGAACAUUUCCUCAUGCAUCUGUUAGCUACCUGAAUGUCUUCUUUAGUGAAGUGUCUGUUCAUAUCUUUUGCCCAUUUUUUAAUUGGAUUAUUUAUUUUUUUGCAGUUGAGUUUUUGCAGUAUCAUGUAGAUUUUAGAGAUCAGGCACUGGUCAGAAAUGUCAUAGCUAAAAACUUUUUCCCAGUCUGUAGGUAAGUCAUCUUACUCUUUUGGUGAAGUCUUUGGAUGAGCAUAGUAUUUGAUUUUUAGGAGCUCCCAGUUACCUAGUUUUUUUUUCUGCAUUCUUAAUAAUGUUUUGUGUACUGUUUAUGCCAUGCAUUAGGGCUCCUAACGUUGUCCCUAUUUUUUCUUUCAAGAUCUUUAUCGUUUUAGAUUUUAUAUUUAGGUCUUUGAUCCAUUUUGAGCUCGUUUUUGUGCAUGGAGUGAGGUAUGGGUCUUGUUUCAUUUUUUUGCAGAUAGAUAUCCAGUUAUGCCAGCACCGUUUGUUAAAAAGACUGUCUUUUCCCCCAUUUAACUGUUUUGGGGCCUUUGUCAAAUAUCAACUGGUCAUAUGUGGUUGGAUUUAUGUCUGGAUUCUCAAUUCUGUUCCAUUGGUCUGUGUGUCUGUUGUUGUACCAGUACCAGGCUGUUUUGACUACUGUGGUGGUAUAGUAGGUGCUAAAAUCAGUGAAAGUAAGGCCUCCCACUUUUUUCUUCUGUUUCAGUAAUGCCUUAUAUAUCUGGGGCCUCUUUCCCUUCGAUAUGAAGUUGGUGAUUUGUUUCUCCAUCUCAUUAAAGAAUGUGGUUGGGAUUUGGAUUAGAAUUGCAUUAAAUGUAUAGAUUGUUUUUGGUAGAACAGACAUUUUAAUAAUGUUAAGUUUUCCUAUCCAUGAGCAAAGUAUGUUUUUCCACUUAUGUAAGUCUCUUUUGGUUUCUUGUGGAAGUGUACUGUAGUUUUCUUUGUAUAAGUCUUUUACAUCUCUGGUAAGAUUUAUUCCUAAGUAUUUUAUCAUCUUGGGGGCUAUUGUAAAUGGUAUUGAUUUGGUGAUUUCCUCUUUGAUGUUCUUUUUGUUGGUGUAGAGGAAUCCAACUGAUUUUUGUAUGUUUAUCUUGUGUCCGGAUACUCUGCUGAACUCUUCUAUUAGUCAGUAGUUUUCUGGAAGAUUCCUUAGGGUUUUCUGUGUAUAAGAUCAUGUCAUCUGUAAAUAGAGAUACAUUUACUCCUUCCUUGCCAAUCCGGAUGCCCUUUAUUUUUUUAUCUAGCCUAAUUGCUCUGGAUAGGACCUCCAACACAAUGUUGAAUAAGGGCAUCUUUGUCUGGUUCCCGGUCUCAUUGGGAAUGCUUUCAGGUUCUCUCCAUUUAGGGUGAUGCUGGCUGUUGGCUUUGUAUGAAUGCCCUUUAUUGUGUUAAGGAAUUUUCCUUCUAUUUCUAUUUUGCUGAGAGUUUUUAUCAUGAAUGGGUGUUGAACUUUGUCAAAUGCCUUUUCUACAUCAAUUGAUAAAAUCAUGUGAUUCUUUUAUUUAUGUGGUGGAUUAUGUUAAUUGUUUUUCUAAUGUUGAACCAUCCCUGCAUACCUGGUAUGAAUCCCACUUGGUCAUGGUGAAUUAUUUUUUUGAUAAUGUUGUUGAAUCCUGUUGGCUAGAAUUUUGUUGAGGAAUUUUGCAUCUACGUUCAUGAGGGAUAUAGGUCUAUAAUUUUCUUUUCUUGUGGUGUCUUUACCUGGUUUUGGUAUCAGGGAUAUGGUGGCUUCAUAGAAUGAGUUUUUUGGUAGUAUUUGGUCCUGUUCUAUGCUCUGAAAUACCUUUAGUAGUAGUGGUGUUAACUCUUCUCUGAAAGUUUGGUAGAACUCUGCAGUGAAGCCUUCCCGACCAGGGCUUUUAUUUGUUGGGAGUUUUUUGAUUACCUCUUCAAUCUCUUUUUUUGUUAUGGGUCUAUUUAGUUGUUCUACCUCUGUUUGUGUUAGUUUAGGUAGGUAGUGUGUUUCUAGGAAUUCAUCCAUUUCUUCUAGGUUUUCAAAUUUGUUAGAGUACAAUUUUUCAUAGUAAUCUGAUACGAUUCUUUUAAUGUCAGUUGGGUCUGUUGUAGUAUCGCCCCUCUCAUUUCUUAUUCGGGUUAUUUGCUUCCUCUCCUGUUUUUCUUUUGUCAGUUUGGCCAGUGAUUUAUCAAUUUUGUUGAUUUUUUUUUUUUUAAAAAAGCAGCUUUUGGUCUUGUUAAUUCUUUCAGUUGUUUUUCUGUUUUCUGUUUCAUUUAAUUUAGCUCUAAUUUUUAUUGUUUGUUUUCUUCUGGUGCCUGUGGGUGUCAUUUGUUGUUCUCUUUCUGUUUGUUCAAGUUGUAGGGAUAAUUCUUUGAUUUUGGCCCUUCUUUUUGUAUGUGUGCAUUGAUUGAUAUAAAUUGGCCUCUGAGCACCGCUUUUGCUGUGUCCCAAAGGUUCUCAUAGGAAGUGUUUUCAUUCUCAUUGGAUUUUCUGAAUUUCUUUAUUCCAUCCUUAAUGUCUUCUAUAAUCCAGUCUUUUUUGAGGAGGGUAUUGUUCAGUUUCCAGCUGUUUGAUUUCUUUUCCCGUUAUUGAUUUCCACUUUACGGUUUUAUGGUUAGAGAAGAUGCUUUGUAAUAUUUCAGCGUUGUGGAUUCUGUUAAGGUUUGCUUUAUGACCUAAUUAUGUGGUCUAUUCUAGCGAAUGUUCCUUGUGCACUAGAAAAGAAAGUAUUCUUGGUUGCUGUUGGGUGGAGUGUUAUGUAUGUGUCUACGAGGUCAAGUUGGUUGAUUGUGGCAUUUAGAUCUUCUGUGUCUUUAUUGAACUUCUUUCUGGAUGUCUUGUCCUUCACUGAAAGUGGUGUGUUGAAGUCUCCUACUAUUAUCGUGGAGCUGUCUAUCUCACUUUUCAAUGCUGAUAGAGUUUGUUUUAUGUGUCUUGCAGUCCUGUCAUUGGGUGCAUACAUAUUUAAUAUGGCUAUAUCUUCUUGGUGUAUUGUCCCUUUAAUCAAUAGAUAGUGUCCUUCCAUAUCCUUUCUGAUGGAUUUAACUUUAAAGUCUAUUUUGUCAGAAAUUAAUAUUGCCACUCCUGCGCUUUUUUGAUUGUUGUUUGCUUUAUAUAUUUUUUUCCAUCCUUUGAGUUUUAGUUUGUAUCUCUGAGUCUAAGGUGUGUCUCUUGUAGGCAGCAUAUAGACGGGUCUUGUUUUUUAAUCCAUUCUGCCACUCUCUGUCUCUUUAUUGGUGCAUUUAGUCCAUUUACAUUCAGGGUAAUUAUGGAUAGGUAUGAAUUUAGUGCUGUCAUUUUGAUGUCUUUUUUUGUGUGUUGUUGACAGUUUCAUUUCCCAGUUAAUUUUAUGUGCUGAGUUGAUCAUGUAUUGUCCUUUCCUCAUAUUUGUUGUUGUUGAUUUUGUUUUUACCGAGUCUCUAUUUUUUUCUUGUGUUUUAUUUUGAUGAGUAGGAUGGUUUGUCUCCUUUGUGGUUACCUUGUUAUUUACCCCUAUUUUUCUAAAUUUAAACCUAGCUUUUAUUUCUUUGUAUUGCUGUAUCUUCCUCUCCAUAUGGAAGGUGUAUGAUUAUAUUUCAUAGUCCCUCUUUAUUAUUUUAAUGUUGUCUUCUUUUAUAUAGUAAUAUCACUGUUACCUGUUUUGAGCUUUUUAUUAUUAUUAUUCUUGCUCUGUUUUUUUGGAUUUCCCUGUCUGGGGUGACUUCUAAUUUCUCCACCCAGUGUUCUAGUCUUGGGUUGAUACCUGGUAUUAUUGAUUUUCUAACCAAAGAACUCCCUUUAGUAUUUCUUGUAGUUUUGGUUUGGUUUUACGAAUUCCCUCAACUUGUAUUUAUCUGGGAAUGUCUUUAUUUCACUUUCAUAUUUAAGAUAAAGUUUUGGUGGAUAUAUGAUUCUUGGCAGGCAAUUUUUUUCCUUCAGUUUUUUAGAUAUGUCAUCCCAUUGCCUUCUUGCCUGCAUGGUUUCUGCUGAGUAGUCCGAGCUUAUUCUUAUCGGCUCUCCUUUGUAGGUGACUUUUCGUUUAUCUCUUGCUGCUCUUAUAAUUCUCUCUUUAUCUUUGGUUUUGGCAGGUUUGAUUAUAAUAUGUUUUGGUGACUUUCUUUUCAGAUCUACUUUAUGUGGAGUCGAUGAGCAUCUCGGAUAGAUAUCUUCUCAACUUUCACGAUAUUAAGGAAGUUUUCUGCCAAUAAAUCUUCAACAAUUUUCUCUUAUCCCUCCCUGUUCUGGUACUCCAGUCACUCAUAGGUUAUUAAAAAAAACAUUUACUUAAUGCCAACUUUGGUACCUAAAAUCUUAGACCUCACCGAAAUGAAGUUUUAAGAAUGAAAACGUUGACUGGUUAUAGUGAUUUCUGUCCAGGCCCAGUACUUGCCUAAGCUUCAUCAAGUUUCUUGAUAUACUCAUGGCUGAUAAGCUAGUCAAUCAUUUUGCUUUGUCAGAACUUUACUUCAGCUUGGACACAAUCAGUAUCUUUGGUUACAUUCUUCACAUUGUGUCAACAUCCCCAUUAAUUCUGUUCUAGUUGUUUCACUCUGAUUGACUUAAACUCCCUGCCCUCACCCCGCCAAACUUCUUGCCUGUGCUUUAAAAUAGCUCUUGUCCAUGUGAUUUUAUAUUUAAAAAAAAAAAAUUCAAGAGUGACAAUCUUUGCUUUUUGAGCUAAACUGCUACUUAGUUUAAAGGUGACUUAAGGGAAUAGUUUUGAUUGAAGGUUUGAAGAAUAACUUAGGGCAGUAGUCUUGGGACUCCUCCAGCCUCAGUAGGUCCAGAAAGUCUGGAUUCUUUAAGAAUUUGAAGCUCUGUUCUACAUUUUUCUCCCUUUCUAUAUGGAUCCAUCUGUUGUGUCCCUGAUCAGAACAUUCAGUAGUGGUAGCUGGGCAGCAUCUAGUUCUUCUUGCCUCAAGGUAGAGGAGGUAGUGGUUUAUGAAUACAGUUUGUCCUAUAGUCCAGUUCCUUCUCUGAUUCUUAGGUUUCCUUCUUUCUCUUUUGUUCCAGACAAAUAGAGACCACUAGUUUAUACUGCAGAUGGCUUCUUACAAGCUUUUAAGAUCCCAGCCACUGCUCACCAUACUAGAAGGUAGCACAUAAAUUUCAAGAUCUAUGUUAUGCCCAUUGACUGGAUUGUCCCAUAAGAUCAUGACCCUAAUCUAAGAGGCAAACAUUUAGUGAACAUCUGUUUUGUACCAGACACUAUCAGAUGUUCAAAUGCAUAGCAAAAUUUAAUUUACAAGUACCUUCUGAAAUAUGUAUCUCUCUCUUUUAAAAAUAAGGAUACUGAGGCAUACCGAACUUAAGUAGCUCAAGGUUGUGCAGUUGGUGAGUGAUGAAAUUUAGAUUUAGACUCAGGCGUCUAAUUUUAGAGCCUCUCAUAACCUGUACUUUAUAGCUUGUGUCCUUUGUUCAGUUGCCUUUUCACAUCUUUCCCCUUUACUGUAGCGGUUUCAGAAUUCUUUCAAAACUUCCAUUAGAAUUUGAAGCUAUGCAUUUUGAUGGGAGUGUAGCUUAUCACUAUUAUUUCUGUAAUAUCUGAGACCUUCAUGCUGCUUACCUAAACCUGACCUCACGUACCUGUCCGGCCUUCCUUUUGUUGUGGCCCAACACAGUGUGACCUUCUAAGCUGUGUAUAAAAAUGAUGUGUCAAAGGUCCUCUAACUUCAUGAGGGGAGAAGAUAAUCAACAUAAGCUCAAAGCUGAUUCCUAUGAGGUGGAAGUCAGACAUCCUACACUCUCCAAACAUUUUACCAAUCCUGAUGCUAUCCGUCCCUCUCACUGCACUCUCUGCUUCGCUCUGGGUUCAGUAAUUUGUUUCAAUAGCCAUGCAGAACUCACGGACCAUACUCAGGAUUAUGGGGGUCUAUUAGGGAAGUAACAGGCUGUAACUCAGGUUCAGGAUCAACUUGGAAGUAACAGGAACUACUCAGGAUACAGUUCUUUGAUCAGGACAGCUUCUUGGCCAUACUCACAGGCAGACUUAGCUCUGGUCCUUGGCCCUGCUCAGGCAAGUGUUACAAAGAUCUUUUCUCCACCGAUAAGUGCUUGGAGGCACGUCACCCCACCAGGAAGCCUUCUGCCUGAAGGUGCUCAGUCAACCCACUGUAGCUGCCUGGCUCUGUGGGCCAGGAAGCCCAUCAUGUUGUCUAGCGCUGGUCUGGCUCUGUUGCUUCUCAAGCCAUCACCAGUGUUACAUCUGUCUCUGUCUUCUGGGUCUGGGAGGUUCUCACUGCAGGGACCCCAGCCCCAAAGGACUUGCUCCAUUUCUGGCUCCUCUUCUUCCUGGUAGUGAGGUCCCUCCUUACUCUGGGAUUGGCUUCCUUUAAGCCUAGUGGGAUGGCUUAACUGUCCAGUCCCCUUGGUGGGCUGUAAGCACUUAUUUGUGUAGUCUUACCCAGUCAUUUUGUGGGAAUUAUUUUUUAUAAUGACCAUGGUUAGAGCUAAGGGUCAUAUAAUAGCAGUUCACUGCACUGUACUGUGUCGCUUAGUUGGGGAAGGGGUUGGUUGUGGGUUGCGAUUUAAGAAAAGCUUUGUUAUAUAUUUACCAGAAGGGUCAGUAAGAUAGAUGACUGAUGUACCCUUAACUUUUCUAAUUUUGUGACCUCAAAGGGUAAAAACUUUCAGUAAUUGUAAUUUUGCAGUGACAUAAAUUUGAACCAUACGGGCAGUGAGACUGAUGUGUAUAUUUUAGCUGGAGCCUAGCUAUCUCCUUAGUAUUUGCAUCUUAGAUUUGUUAUUCACUGUCAACCAAAAAUCUUACACUCAUAACGACCUUGGGAGGUAGAUGGUGAUACUCCCAUUUUACAGAUGAUGGAACUGGCGGAAAUACAUACUGUAGAGGUAUUUGAAAUUUAAGGGAUAUGAUAGAUCUCUUCAUACGAGUGCAUUUAUAAGUUUUGCACUGUUGUAUAUCUGAAGGAGCCCUGAUGGUGCAGUGGUUAAUUGAUUGGCUGCCAACUGAAAUCUGCCAGCUACUCUGCAGGAGAAAGGUGUGGUGGUCUGCUUGCUAAAGAUUACAGCCUUGGAAACCCUACAGGGCGGUUUACUGUGUCCUGUAUGGUCGCUUGAUUCGGAAUGGACUCGAUGGCAAUGGAUUUUUUUUUUUUUUUUUGGUUUAUCUCUGGGAGUAAGGCUGAGGUAGCUUUUUGGCAGUAUACUAAUAGAUACAUAGAGCAUUUAUAUUCAGAAUUGCUAAAGUGAAUUUAAUAUUUUUGGAGACUGUUUUAUUCCCAUCUUCUUUUAGGGACGUUGUUGUCUGCAGUUAUUCUUAGGAGGCUUUUUGAGAUUGUGGCCAAAAAUAGAGUGGUUCUUUGAGUGCUUGGAGACUGGUUCACUUUUUCUAAGACCUUUGCACACAAGAGUGUUUCUGUAAGAAGCGAUGUGGGUAGAUGUGGCCUAGUUUCCCCCUCUCCCCACCCCCCCCCCCCAGUCAGUACUGGUGGUGAAUUCGAGGUUUUCCUGUUCACAGGGCCCUUGCAAGCCAACUUGUCCUCUUCCCACAGAGAUACUGAUGUCUCUCUUAUCUUGCUCCAGCUGUUCAUAUUAGAAAGUGCAUGGAGGGGAUGUUUUGUUACCUUGUCACCUAGCUUUCUUGUAAAUAUUUUCUAUGGCCUUUGGUUUUGCUAUCCUAGUUGCUGUAAACAAACAAACAAAAACAAAAAAACCAAACCCAUUGCCGCUGAGUUAAUUCCAACUCGUAGCGACCCUGUAGGACAGGGUAGAAUUGCGUCACAGGUUUUUUUUGUUAGCAGCCGUAGCACUUAACCACUACACUACCAAGUUUUCCUAGUUGCUGUAGAAUGUAGUUUUUUUUUUUUUUUUUUGUCAUAGUUUUAAGGUUCUUAAAUAUGGAGAAUAUCAUAUACAUGCCUUUUCUUUUUCUCCAUUUUAGUUAAGGAGUUCUUCGGGGACAAUAACUGCAUUUUGAGUGUAAUGGAUCACAUAGUUUAAAUAUUGUGCUCAUAACAUGAAAAAGUUCCUAUGUACAGAGAUUACUGAAAUUAAUACUACUUUAGAAAAUUCUGCCUCUUUUUUAUGGAUGAGUUUUUUAUUAUGAAAGUGCUCUUGGCGGGGAGAAACUGCUAUUCUACCUGCUUGUAUAUUCUUACAAAAUUUUUCUACACAUAUAAAAGUGUAUAUAUGUUAAUCCUUUUUUUUAAAGUACACGUUGUAUCAAACUUCUGCAGUUUGCCUUUUUGAUCUAUUUGCCAUCUUUGUUUUUAUGGGCUGCAUGUUGAGUGUAGCACAAGGUACUGUAAGAAGGUACCAUAAGGUAUACCUACCUUCUUGGUUGGUCAUUUAGGCUGUUGACAGUUAAAAACAAUUAGGAACAAUGCUUAAGUGAUGUAUUUGCUCUGGCACAGACAGGACAAUGGGAAUUAAGGAGUGAAGAUACGUAUAUUGUUAUUUUUGACAGAGAUUGCCAGCUGGCCUGCCAAAAAAGCCUUUUCAGUUUACGUUUCUGCUGACAGUGUAUGAUACCUAUCGCUAAUCCAUGUAAGCACUGAACAUUAUUAGACUUUUAAAUCUGAAAUUCUCAUGGGUGCAAAUGGCAUCUCAUUUUAGUUUGCUUUCUUUAAUUUUGUGCUGGCAUCUUAUCAUUUGUUAAUUGCCGUUUGUAGUUUUCUGUCCUUUACUCAUCAACCUAUGAGUUGUUCCUUUUUUGAAAUUUUUUUUUUUUUCACUAUUUUUUUAUUGAUGGAAACCCUGGUGGCAUAGUGGUUAAGUGCUACGGCUGCUAACCAAAGGGUCGGCAGUUUGAAUCCACCAGCCGCUCCUUGGAAACUCUAUAGGGCAGCUCUACUCUGUCCUAUAGGGUCACUAUAAGUCGGAAUCGACUCGACGGCACUGGGUUUGGUUUGGUUUUUAUUGAUAAAAACAAAAAAAUAGCCUGAUAAUGUUACUUUUUAAUAAAUUAUACUUUUGCUAGGAAUAAUCUGAGUUUAAGACAGUCUUAUAUUGCAAGUUGUUUAAAAAGGAUGGACAUGAUCACAUAGCAAAGGAUAGUCUUCCCAAUGCUUGGUAGAUUGAAAUGUUAUUUUGGCAUAUAUUCAUCUUUUCAAUUAUAUUCCAAAGACAAAUAGUUGUAUAUACUAGCUCUGUAGCCUUCACUCCAAAUUAUGAGUAACAUAUUUAAAUUUGUUUGUGUUUAUGACAGGACUUGAAAUUCUGUCCUUGUAGAAAAAAUUUUUAAAAAUACAUGACCUCACCCAAAGAAACGCAAACCCAUUGCUGUUGAGUUGAUUCUGGUUCAUUGUGACCCUAUAGGACCGUGUGGAACUGCCUCAUGGGGUUUUCAAGGCUGUUUAAUCUUUAAGGAAGCAGGCUGUCACAUCUUUCUCCCGUGGAGCAGAUGGUGGGUUUGAACCGCAGACAUUUUGGUUAGCAGUUGAGUGUUUGAAACCACCGCGCCACCAGGGCUCCUUUUUUAAAUAAAAAAAAUCCUUUUUUAAAUAAGUCCUGGCCUAUUUGGCAAUAAGCUAAAGCAAGCCAGUUAAGAUGUGAACAAAGAAUCUGUAUUCUGCUCUUAGGUUGACUGAAAACUGGGACCUCUCUGAGAUCUCAGAAAUGUCAUAAAGUCCUCUUAAGCUUGAAGGAAUGAAAAUACUACACACAGAAAAAUGGCAUAUCUUAAGAUUGCUCUCUACUAUCUUAAAAUUAGUUGUGGAUAAAUUUUUUAUUUAAGUGUAAAUAAAAUAUUUAAUUUGACCUAUGAAGUCUACUUAAGUUAAUAAGACUUAGCAGCAAAUUCGAAGAUAAUUGCCAGAUUUGUUGGCAGUUAAUUGAAGAUGUUUGAGAUGUAAGAUUUUUCUGGAAAAUUCACAUAAUUCUGUAAUAUUCUUUAUCACUUUUCUAUUCAGUACUUAGAUGAGUAUCCUUUUCAAUACCCAAAGAUGCAGUGAUUCUCAACUAGGGGUGACAAAGCCUGGAGUCAUUUUUGGUUGUUAAAAUUGGGGAAUGCUACUGGCAUCUAGUGAGUAGAGAUCAGGGAUGCUUUUAAACAUCCUGUAAUGUACAGGACAACUAUUAUCUGGUCCAAGAUGCCAGUAUUGCUGAGGUUGAGCAAUCCUUUUUUUAAUAGGAAAAAGCAUACUUAGGUUUUAGAAAGUAUCUUAUACUUCAUUUGUUCUGUGACUUUUGAAAUAAAAAAAUAGCAAGUGUAAUAAAGUCAUUCAGGUCUUUAAUAGGGUCUGUAGUUUUACUUUUCAAAAUUCUACUUGAGAAAUUUAGAAAAGUCUAAUUCGAGAAAUAAAUACUAGUUGAAAAUUCAUAGCCCAUUAAUUGUAAAUGCCAUCUUUCCUGCUUUUCAGUAAAGAGAAAAGUCCCAGAUGUUUUGCCUUUUAUCUAAUCAAAUAUGAUCUCUGUUAGCUGCCUUCACUGUACCAGUCCUGUGUGUGUGUGUGUGUGUGUGUGUGUGUGUAUAUAUGUAUAUGGGAAAGAGAACCUUUGAUUCCUCACUUUGUUGAUGGAUUAGUUGUGUUUUCAUUAGCGACUCCACAUACACCUAACAUAAUUUCCUGUCAGUUCUGCCCACCAGAAAGCUGGCAGUUAUGUGUAUCUCACAGACCAAGUCACAGACCACCACACAACUGGCUAAUAUGCUAAUGGGCCAUUAGUGGCAGUAACACUGACCACUUCUCUCACCUCCAGUCAGGACCCAAAGGAGCUAGCUACUCUGGCCGCUGGCAAUACCCCUGCUUGCUGUCCUUGAAAGGGGAAGGGUUGGAUACAUUGUGUCUGGAAAGGACAAGAAAGAGAUUGGUUGGUUCUGUCAUCUUUCAGAUGUAACUGCACAUUAAAGUGAGGACUCUUCAUCAUACAUACAUCUCACACAACAUGACAAGACCAUGGUAAAAGUUAGAAAUACAACUAUUAAUAUACCAGUAUAUUUUAAUGCAGCUAUUAAUAACACUUUGUUAAAUCUGGUACAGGCAGUAAGCUGUAUGGGUGUAGACCAAAACAUUCCUGGGCAGACUAUGAAUGACCAUUCUAAUUGUUCCCUUUGAAGUCUCUUUGUACAGCAUUAGGAGUUAAUACCAUUCAUUCCUUCUUAAACUUUUCUCCUAUUGGUGAAACAAAUACUGUCUUAUUUAACAUGCUUUCGUGAUCUGGGGGCUUUUUAACUUUCCAGACUUGUCUCCUGUUACUGCCCCUAACUUUCCCAAAUUACUUGCAGUCCACUGAACUAGUACUCUAUUUUGCUGGUGUUACAUCCUAAUAGCAUCUUGCCAUGCAUUGCCUCAGAAGUUCUUCCUCAUGGGAUAACUACAGCUUGUCUUUUAGGACUGCCCAGACAACGCCAUUCAUAAUACAUACUAACCUAAUAAAACCCUUUUUUUCCAUAGAAAAUGCCGUUUUUCUGAUAUGCAUUGGUCGUGUGUUCUGCCAUAGCUUUUUGCAUACUUUGCCUCUUGUACUUUGAACAUGUAUGUCAUCAGGAGGGACCAGCCCCUGGAGAAGGACAUCAUUGGUAAAGUAGAGGGUCAGCAAAAGAGAGGACGACCUUCGGUGAGAUGGACUGAUGCAGAGGCUGCAACAGUGGGCUCAAACGUAACAGUGAUUGUGAGGAUGGCGAGGAUGGUGCAGGACCGGGCAGUGUUUCAUUCUAUCACUGAGUCAGAACCAACUUGACGGCACCUAAGAACAACAUAGAUCCUAAAGACCACAGUGCUCAAGGCAGACAUUCUUUACUAGUUAAGCUAAACUCUUGAUUGGUUUUAAGAAAGCAUCAGAGGAUAUUUUUGGUUUAAGGUUUAAAGAUUAUCUCAGGGCAGGAGUUUUGGGGGAUCAUCCAGCUACCCUGACUCCAGAAAGUCUGGAUUCCAUGAGAAUUUGAAAUUCUGUUCUGCAAAGAAUUUUUUUUUUUUAACUUUAUUAGUUGGUAUCAGAAUCCUUAGCUUGUUUGCUGCGUGUAAAUAUUCCGAGUGAGGUAUGUUUGCUUUCUCUUUUCCCUUUCAGUUUCUGUAUUUACAGAUUUCUGUCUAUCCUUUAAGUGUCAACUUAGUUCUUAUCUAAGCCUUCGCAGAUUUUCAAAGAAAAUAGUAUCUCUCUAAAUUCAUUUUAUCAUUUUUUAUUCUGUGUUACGGAUAUCUUAAUGUAAAUAUUAUUUCUUUUUGAUCAUUAUAUCCAUAUGUGUCUUGUAUCAGUGUUCCUUGAAAACCAUAGAGUAACUAAAGAUUUGUGCAAUGAGUUCAUCUCUCUUUGUAUUUACUAAGUAAAUUCAGAUGUGGAUUACUUUAUGUAGAUGUAUUCUUGAAAACUUAUAUGUUGAGUUUUGUGAAGGAAACAUUUUAAGUGUACUUAUUCUUGGACCCCUGUCUCCGGUGACUAGGUGGCGUGAGUGGAACCACCAGUCCUGAGGCUCCGAUGAUGUGGGUAGGUGAGGACCCUGCUUCAUAGGCAGAGUGGUGUCAAAUAUCAUGAACCUACCACUCCACCAUAUAACUGAUACGGUUGAGGUUAGACUUCAGGUAUAUACCCUGUUGUACUGCGCUAAUGAGGGCCUACGCCGUUGUGAUGGGCCCACACUUGCCUAUUUAAGGGUGAAAGGUAUUCAAAGUCCCUGGACCUCUUACGCCUGUGCCCAGGCAAAGGAGCUGUUUCUGCCCUGAGUUGUCAGCUUCGGGGCGCCGGCGGGCUAUUUUUUCCUGUUUGUUAAUUUAUUCCCUCUCCAAGGCUUGGAGAAUAGCUCACGGUGCAUGACGGGUCCUACUUUCGGCCCAGGGGUUGCAGCAGUCUUUGAAGCCAGUUCUGACCCAGUGCAGAGCGGGAAGGGGGCAGGUAAAUAGGAGAGAGGUUUUUCCCCAAAGGGGUAUUCUUUGAUCCACGUGGUAGGUUAGGCACAAGUACUUAUCUUUUGCCGAUUGAGUGCCACUUUUCAUUGAUUCUGGAGGUGUGAGUGGGCUCUCCGUGCUCUGUCUGUCCCGAUGUGGAAAACGUGUCCUGAAUGCCACUGCUUGCCUCACUGUGCUCGCACCAGGGGAUGUGGCUUGUGGGGUGCGGGUUCCCAUCAGGUCAGGUCUGUCAGCUUCUCACUGCUUCUGAACUGUCUCUCCUUCCCUCUACCGUUCAGUCCGAUUCCUCAGCUUUGCCUUUGAUGUUCAGGGCUCCUGGAUUGUCAUAUGUAAUCGAUUCACUUGUUUUUUCGCGUCUUUGUUGUAAGAGGGACCACAGGAAGCAUCUGACUACUCUGCCAUCUUGGCUCUGCCUCCUCUAUUUAAUAUUAUUUUGUUUAAUAUGUCGCCCACUGCUUUUAUCAGCAUUUGCCUGUGCCAAGUGUGUUAAGUUCAGUUUAAAAAUUAGGACUGAGGAAACUUUUAUAACUCUACAGUCUCCAGGUUCCCGACAUCUGACCUGGGGACAGCUUGGCGCGUGCCCUUGAAUGUUAUGUAGAUUUGCCCUCACUUUGAACUGAUUGCACCAGCUCUGCUUGAAGCAAAGUCAUCAUCACGAUCACCUUCACUUGCUGCACGUGCGGCUUUUAAAUCAGUGAAAAGUCUUGGAGCCUUUUCCUGCGCUAACCCACUGCCAUCGAGUCAGUGCAGACUCACAGCGACCCCAUAGGCUUUCCCAGGCUAUAAAUCUUGCGGUGGGGGGCAGGGGGAGAAGAUCGCCGUAUCUUUUUUCCGAGGAGCUGCUGGUGAUUUCAAGUCACCAACCUUUCUGUUAGCAGUUGAGUGGGUUAACCAUCUUGCGCUAAAGUUAGGCUAAAUAAAUAGGCACUUGUUCCGACUUACCUACAGAUGCGACCUAAGGACACAGGAACAGUUGUUGAUGGUAACCUGGGGACUGCCUGUAGUUCCUUAAGAGGGUAAUAGUUUUGCAGGUGCUUCUUUAAUCAGCAUGUGCUUUGAGCCCAGGACUAAUCAUGUAUAGAAGGGAAUCAAGGAAUAAUGAUUAUUUUUGUUAUUUCUGUUUUUUAAAUUUUGGUGGGGGGAGUGAAAGCUUUGUGUCAGGUGAUACUAGUGUUAUUCUGUGUAGAGUGCAGUAGGGAGAACUUGGUCAGAUUAGAUGGGAAUAAAACGGAAAUUGCUUUAAAUUUUGCCUCCUAGAAUUUUAAAAAAUAUUUUUAUAAAUUAUAGCGAUUUCUUAAGAUUUUGACAGAAUUACAAACUUCAUAAAAUAAAACUUUAACCCCAGAUUCCCUUUGAUAUGAUACCCAAAAAGACAUUUUAAAAUGUUAGUAAGUUUGCAUUAUCUGCAUAUGUUUAUUUUUCUACAUUUUAAUAUCUUUGAAACUGAAAUGACUUUAAAUCACCAUUAGUGUCCUAGAAUUAUAGGUGGCAGCAUUUUAAUUUCUUAGUGGUUCAUAAAAUAAUGGCGAAUCUUACAAUUGAUGCUAAGUAUGAUUUAAUAAAUACAGUAUUAUUAGCUCUUUGAAGGUUUAGGAGGCGCAGGUAAUUAAAUGUGCUGGAUAGCUAGUAUGGACUGCUUAAAAGAGUUGUUCGUUCACUCUUGAAGGAGUGACUUAUUGAGUAUUCAGUGUAAGUAGAUUGAUGGCAUGUUUCACUUAAAAGAUUUUAAGAAAUAUUUUAAUACAUUGCUUUUAUAUUUAGAAAGUAUCCUUUCUUAGUUGUUCAGGUCAGUAUGAGGAUUUGUGGAAGAAACUUGUACCCUUGAUUUCUGCCUAUUUGAAGAUUUCACUUUUUGAAAAUUUGUAAACAAUACAAAAAAAUUAUUGAACCGCAUUAGUGGAAUGCAGUUUUCUAAAUGUGGUAAUUUUGAAAUUAUUGGAUUUGUUAUUGAGAUGAGGCAUAGAGAGUUUAAAAAUGUGACCAGAUAUUUAAAUAUGUUUUUAUUAUAAAAGAAUAUUUUAUUUAAAAUAAUUUGAAUGAUGCCACCCCCCCCCAAAAAAAAACCCUGUUGCUGUCUAGUCAAUUCCGUCUUCUAGCAACCCUAUAGGACAGAGUAGAACUGCCCCAUAGAAUUUCCAAGGAACACCUGGUGGAUUCGAACUGCCGAUCUUUCAGUUAGUAGCCGUAGCACUUAGCUAUUGCAGCACCAGGGUUUCCUUGAAUGAUGGCAGAUUUCAUCAAAGACGGGACCGGCUCUCCAUUUCUAUUCCCCAGGGUAAUUUAGCAUAUUAAUUUUGAACAUGCUCAGUAUCUUUAUGUAGUCAGUAAAAUACAAAAUGGAGGUUGGCAUUUAAUAAAUAGCUUUGGGUGGGGGGAGAAGAAAGGUCACCAGAAAAAAGUAAGAUAUACUUGAAUGACCCUUUGUGUUCUAAAAACUUAAAUUUAGGUUUUUCAGGCAUAAUAUACUUGAAAAAGAGUUACCACCCACAUAGCCCCUUAAACUUUGAUCAACUUUUGCUUUUUGGUAUUCGGUUUGAAUGUUUUUAUUUCUGAAUUACAAAGUUUCAGUUAACUUUUAAUUCUCAAUUUAUAAUUUCACUGAGUGUAAACAGUUAUUGUGUGUAUUCUUAAAAGGUAAAGUGACAUGUUAUUAAAAAGAGAAUAGCUUUGUAGAUGUGAUUGGCUGGAAUGUAUAGCCUUCAGACUAGAAACUUUCAAAUUCAUAGAAAUACAUAUUUAUAAAUUCAGAUUCAAUUUUUAAUGUAGGAAAAUCAAGCUUUAUCGUCUGGUGCAGGAACAGUCCUAUAUUUUGAAGACCUAGAAUAUUUAUGUUGGAAAAAGAUAAAAUUCACUUAACUGUAAUCAGUGGAUAAAGCUCUAAUAAAGGAAAAUAGCAAUAAAAUUAACUUCAUUUGCAGUGGUACAUGAUACAUUAUCUGUGUAUUACAACAUAGAGGACCUUUGACAUUCUGGAGGGUUACCCAAAUUCUCAGGAUACCUUGAUGGAACUUUAGGCAUUGAGCCGUUUGCUAGACUGUAUAUUCUCAUUUAGGAAUACACACUCAGCCUUGAAUUAAUCUACUAGUCUCAAAACAUUUUAAUUUAUAAGAGAUAAACUUUUAAGUUGUAAUUUGAAAGUCCAAAAGAGGAUUUUUGUCCUCCCUCCAAGGCUCAAAUACCUACUAAAGCUAGAACAUUAAAGAUUUAAUCACAGAAGAGUAAUUUUGCUUUUUAAAAGCAUCAAAGUAGUUUGAUUUUUUUUGGCUUGCAUGGAUUCUGGUUCACUUAAGUCAAAAAUGAACAAAAAGAAAAAAUUAUUGGAAGGAUACUGAGGUGUAGCGCUUAGAAUCAAGGGUUGAACUAUACCGACAAGCCAAGGAUAUGGGGAUGGGGCACCUCAUGGGCCUUAGCAGUAGCUAGACUAUUUCUUUAGGUUGUUGACAGAGGGGUGAUUUGGCUCCAAUGAAUUCUAGUAUUGGGUUCUUUCCAUAUUUCACAUUUAUGGGAGGAAUAUCUGGCUUACCCCAGGAUUAAUUUACUUUUGCAGGGGCAGGGAGUGAGCAGGGAAACAGAGCUAGCAACUGCAGACCCAUGCUUGUGAAUUAGGUCUCUUUCUGGGAAAGGGGAACCAUGAGCUGGGGCACCACCUCAUUGGUGUACUCUAACCAGAAUAUAUAUGUCUAUACAAUACUCCCAAUUCAUCAUACAGGUCACGUGUAUUAAAAUUGUUGUUUGGAAACCAUUGUGAAAGUUAAAACUGAUUGAUGUCAGCAGGAAAUCACCUUGACCUUCAAGAAUCUAAAUAAAUUACUUCUAAUCCCUCGUGCUGUAAUUGUGGGAAAUUAAAUGCUGUUACCAAGGUCUCUACAAAUUGCUGAAAAGCUUACAUUCCUUGAAACUACUACUUCUGCAAAAUUAGUAUCAAAGUGUUUUUAUGACGAAGACAGUUCCCUUCCAAAGAGAAAUUCUGGUACUUGAUUUUUGGCUUCAUGGAAUCUGAUUUUAUAAAGGAAAAAAAGCCACAGAACUACUGACUAUGGUAUGGGCAGAGUAUAAUAGUUGCUUUAAGGGAGUUACAAACACAGAGUUUUGAGAGCAGAGUGAGUUGAUUUCUGGCAAGUUGAUUAGGUAAGGGUAAAUGGUAAUGAGUUGGAAGAUGGCAGCUGGUAUACUGGCCAUGGGACAAGAGACAUUUCAGCUCAGUCCAGGCAGAAGGAGCAGUGAGCAGAGAAAUAGGAAAAAGUUCAGGGCUGUGGAGCUAGAUUUGGGAUAUAUCAGAGUGCGCCUUGGUAGUGGUAUUACGCAGACUAAAAAAAAAUUUAAAAAACCCAUUGCUGUCCAGACAGUUCCGACUCAUAGCAACCCUAAAAGACAGAGUAGAACUGCCCCAUAGAGUUUCCAGCGAGUGCCUGGUGGAUUUGAACUGCCGACCUUUUGGUUAGCAGCCGUAGCACUUAACCACUAUGCCACCAGGGUUUCCGAUUACGGUUUAUUAAUUAGGUAAUGGGGAGACAUAGAUUUUUAAAUUUAGAAGGACCUUAGAAGUUAUCGAAGGUUUUUGUUUUUUUUUAAAUAAUUUUUAUUGUGCUUUAAGUGAAAGUUUACAAAUCAAGUCAGUCUCUCACACAAAAACCCAUGUACACCUUGCCACACACUCCCAGUUACUCUCCCCCUAAUGAGGCGGCCCACUCUCUCCCUCCACUGUCUUUUUGGGUCCGUUUUGCCAGCUUCUAACCCCUUUAACCCCAUCUACACUGUCAUCGCCCCUCCAGGCAGCAGAUGCCAACAUAGUCUCAAGUGUCCACCUGAUCGAAGAAGCUCACUCCUCACCAGCAUCCCUCUCCAACCCAUUGCCCAGUGCAAUCCCUGUCUGAAGAGUUGGCUUUGGUAAUGGUUCCUGUCCUGGGCCAACAGAAGGUCUGGGGACCAUGACCACCGGCGUCCUUCUAGUCCCAGUCAGACCAUUAAGUCUGGCCUUAUGAGAAUUGGGGGUGUGCAUCCCACUGCUCUCUUGCUCCCUCAGGGGUUCUCUGUUGUGUUCCCUGUCAGGGCAGCCAUCGGUUGUAGCUGGGCACCAUCUAGUUCUUCUGGUCUCAGGAUGAUGUAGUCGCUGGUUCAUGUGGCUCUUUCUGUCUCUUGGGCUCGUAAUUACCUUGCGUCCUUGGUGCUCUUCAUUCUCCUUUGAUCCAGAUAGGUUGAGACCAAUUGAUGCAUCUUAGAUGGCUGCUUGCUAGCGUUUAAGACCCCAGAUGCCACUCUUCAAAGUAGGAUGCAGAAUAUUUUCUUAAUAGAUUUUAUUAUGCCAAUUGACUGAGAUGUCCCCUGAAACCAUGGUCCCCAAACCCCUGCCCCUGCUACGCUGGCCUUCGAAGCAUUCAGUUUAUUCAGGAAACUUCUUUGCUUUUGGUUUAGUCCAGUUGUGCUGACCUUGCCUGUAUUAUGUGUUGUCUUACCCUUCAUCUAAAGUAGCUCUUAUCUACUAUCUAGUCAGUGAAUAUCCCUCUCCCAUCCUCCCUCCCUCCCCCGUCUUGUAACCACGGAAGAAUGUUUUCUUCUCAGUUUAAACUGUUUCUCAAGUUCUUAUAAUAGUGGUCUUAUUACAAUAUUUGUCCUUUUGCAACUGACUAAUUUCACUCAGCAUAAUGCCUUCCAGGUUCCUCCAUCUUAUAAAAUGUUUCACAGGUUCCUCACUGUUCUUUAUCAAUGCGUAGUAUUGCAUUGUGUGAAUAUACCAUAAUUUAUUUAUCCAUUCAUCCGUUGGUGGGCACCAUGGUUGCUUCCAUCUUUUUGCUGUUGUAAAUAGUGCUGCAGUAAACAUGGGUGUGCAUAUAUAUGUUCGUGUAAAGGCUCUUAUUUCUCUAGGAUAUAUUCCAAGGAGUGGGAUUGCUGGAUCGUAUGGUAGUUCUAUUUCUAGCUUUUUAAGGAAGCGCCUGUUGAAGGUUUUUGAGCAGGGGAGUAAUAAGUUAGGACUUUGCCCUGGGGAAGUUGUGUAAUUCAGGGGAGUUAGGGAAAUCACCAAAGGAGCCCUGGUGGUGCAGUGAUAAAGCGUUUGGCUGCUAACCAUAAGGUUAGCAGUUCGAACCCACCAGCUGCUCUGCAGGAGAAAGAUGUGUAAAUCUACUUUCAUAAAGAUUUACAGCCUUGGAAAGUUUAUGGAGCAGUUCUAUUCUGUCCUAUAAGGUCACUGUGAGUUGGAAUUGAUCAGAGGACAGUGAGUUUGGUUGUGGUGGGUUAACUUGUUGCUGUCGAGUAGAUUCGCAUGCAUAUUGACCCUGUUGGCAGAGUAGAACUGCCCUGUAAGGUUUCUAAGAAUCUGCUGGUGAAUUUGAACUGCUGACCUUUUGGUUAGCAGGUGAGCUCUUAACCACUGCACCAUCAUGCAUGUCAUUGAAAUAUAUUGAGCUAUAUUAGGUCUUCUCUCAAUUUCAUGUUUUGAAAAAUCUCUUCCGGAUCCACCUUAUCUACUGUAUUCUCAACUGGUUGAUCUCCAGACCUGCCUUAAUUAUCUUGGGGGUCUCCGUUCACCAUAUUCCGGAGUUCACUUUCUUAUUGGGUCUUCAGAUUCCUAGAUACCAUGUUGUGUUCUUUCUUGGUUUACUUCAUUGUUUUGGUGGAGUUCAGCCUCCAAUAGCUUCCUAAGAGAAGACAUAAUUGUAAAUACAUUUUUUAAAUAUUUUCAGUGUCUGAACAUGUGUUUAUUCUACCCACUUAACGGGUAGUUUGGGUAUGGAAUGCUGGGCUGAAAAUAAUUGUCUCUUUGAAUCUUGAAGGCAGUUCUGCAUUGCUUUCUUCGUACAGUGUUAUUGAGAAAUCUGAAGCCCUCUUUAUAUGUAACCUGUUUUAGAUCCCUGAAAUUUUGUGCAGUCUUCCCUUUGAUCCCCAAAUUAUGAUGUGCCUUGCUUUAGGUCUGUAUUUUAACCCUGUGUUGACCACUCUCAACAACUCUUGUUGACUUAAUUUGAAAACUGUUGUUGUUGAGUCAGUUCCAACUCAUGGCGAUCCCGUGUGUUACGGAGCAGAAUUGCUUCCUGAGAUUUUCUUGGCUGUUACCUUAAUGGAAACAGAUCGCCAGGCCUUUCGCGACACUUAGACCAAACCCACUGCCCUUGAGUCAGUUCCGACUCAUAGAGACCCUGUAAUCAUAAUACACCACCUAGGGAUCUUCCAAUUGAAAACUAAUGUCCUUUAAUUUGGGGAAAGUUUUUUGAUUUAUUUUAAUUAUUGAUGUCUGUGGUGUUGUUUUUUUUAACUUGGGUUAUUUAGAUUUUAGACUUUUUGUACAGCUUUUCUGUUUUUAAGAUUGCUUUCCUUAUUGUCUUCUGCCUUUUUACUGUACUUAACAUUUUCUUAAGUUUAUAUUUAAAUUGCAAACUUUUAAUUUCUGCUACUGUAUUUUGAAUUUCUGAGGUUUAUUGUUAUUUUUUAAUUUCCUAUAUUGUGUCAUCUUGUUUAUAGGUGAAAUACCUACAUCUCUUUGAUGAUAUCAGUGUUAGUUUCUUUUGAGGUUUUCUCUCCUGGCAUAAUCUGGUUUCCUUCAAGUUGCCUUCAUUUUAUUGAUUUGUUUUGGUUCUCUGUUAUAUUAGAUGUUCUCCAGAAUUACCUGGUGCUCCUUGACUGCAAGCUCAUUUUUAAGAGAGGCACACCCAAAGAACUGAUUAGAAGGUCUGUGGCUAGCCUUUGCUAGUUGGAUAUCUGCCUGGCUCUUUAUCUUCUGGGACCUGGGGAUCUCAGCAUUUAAUUUUGGUCAUAUUCCAUUGCCAUCAAGUUGAUUUUCACUCAUAGUGACCUUACAGGACAGAGUAGAACUGUCCUAUAGGGUUUCCAAGGCUGUAAUCUUUACAGAAGCAGACUGCCUCAUCUUUCUCCCAGGGAGAGGCUGGUAGGUUUGAACCACCAACCUUUUGGUUAGCAGCUGAAUGCUUAACCACUGUGCCACCAGGCCUCCUUUUGGUCACUUAAUCCCUUCCUAUUUUUAGCACAUUCCCCCAUUUUCAAUGCUUUUAUCUUCUUUAGAGAAUAAAACUCCAGAGGGGUAGGGAAUGGAAGAAAGGAGCAGUCUUCCUGCUGUGUUGUUGGUGGAAGAGAUUUGGGAUUUUGACUGCUCAAGCCUAACCAAACCUUUUAUUUUUAGCCCCACCUUCACGUCUACUUUAGGAACCCUGGUGGCAAAAUGGUUAAAAUGCACCGCUGCUAACCAAAAGGUCAGCUCUUUGAACCCACCAGCUGUCUCACCAGCUGCCCUGAGGGAGAAAAAGAUGUGUCACUCUGCUUCCUUAAAGAUUACAGCCUUGGAAACCCUAUGGGGCAGUUCUACUCUGUCCUGUAGGGUCGCUAUGAAUCGGAAUUGAUUGUUUUCACUUCUACCGAGUUUCCCAACUCAUGUACCUUUGAGAUUUUGUAAUGAAAAUCCGCUUGUUUGUCUGCUCUUUCCACUACUGAAGGAUUGAACGUUGGUCCCCUUCUGUUUCCAGAAUGUUGCAGUUUUGUUCCCCAAGUUGUCUUUGUUCUUAUGGUUUAUGCUUUUAUGAAAAGAUCCCCUUUGAAUUGUUUUAAUGAAAUUUCUAGAAGGAAUGGAUAUUUCUCUUACUCUCCUCCCCCAAUAUUGAAUUUUCUGUCUUUAGACAGAAUCCCAUCACUUCCAGUUAUUGCCUCCUGGGUAGCAGACCCUUCAAAAUCUUUAUGUUAUUUGCUCGAUCAAAACCAAGCUUUUCUCUUUUAAAAAUGUGGAAUUUAGAAAAUUCAUCUUUGUACUUAUUGAGAAUAAAUUCUAUAAUAAAGACUAGGUGGUUUUACUUAAAAUGUACAGUGAAUUGUCUGAUUAAUUUUUACUAUUAAUAGCACUGUAAUUAUUAGUACACUGGGCAGAUGUCAGAUAGUAAAUUUAAAUGAUAAUUGAGUAUUAAUGGGCCACUUUAAACAUUCAUUUAUAAUAAAAAAUGAUGAGGCUUGGGCAGCUUAAAGGAUUGAGUUGUUACAUUUCUUCUUUGGUUUAAUUUUAGAAAAAUUUUGAUAAUAACUAUGUUUUUCCAUCAGGUUUUCAAUUAUUGCUGAUACUGUUUAAUACAAAAACAGUAUCAAACAAUGCUGGUGUGCCUGAACCAUUUUACUGUCUCUUCAAAUUGGGUUUGAUCAUUUUACAUUGAAGAAAAAACUUAUGUUGUUUUACCCAGUCUUUAUUUCAAGACAUGUGUAUGUGUUUUGGUUUUAUCUACCACCCUUAACAGAUUUUAAAACAUACUUUGCACUUCUUAAAUAUGUCACUUCCUCAAAGAUGUUGCCCUCGUUAGAUUUAAUAAUUACCCUUAUUAGAUAUUAGUGUAGAUAUUAGCAUCAUCUAUUUAUAAGGCUAGGAAAAAAAUCAGGGAAAUAAUUUCAGGCCUGAAGGACGUCAGAGAAUGUUACCAGCCCAUUGCAGAAUAUGUAGAGAAACAAGAGUGUAGUGUGCAUAAUUGUUCUAAAGAUUGUACAGCACAAAAUUAUAUCGUCACCAGAAGCUUCAAAUAAUCAGACUUCAUUCUGUAUGCCUUUUUAAAUUCAGGGUACUGUCUAUGCCUUCUUUAUAAACUUGUUCAGAAAAAGAAUUUCUGCCAUUCAGCUUUUUGUGAUUGACUUAAACCACCAACCCCAACUUCUCAUUCUACCCCCAGUCUCUUUCUAAAAUUCAUAGAGGAUAUGUUUUUUAAAGGCCAUUCUGGUAGCAGUAUGGUAAAAAAAAUAUAUAUAUAUAUAUAUUACUUAAAAAAUAAACCAAGUGUUUGAAAAUAAAAGUUCUAUUAAACAAUGUGCCAUCUUUUAAAUGUGUGCUAAAUGGUGUCUUUAUUGAAUCAGUAAUCUUUUUGUGCAGUAUUUUCCAGAUUAAAAACUCACCAACCAUUAUCACUGUGUCAAAAUGGCAUGGAGGUGGCAUCCUACCUCCUGUAACUUCAGGGGUGAGAAGGCUGAUUUUAACGAGGCGCCCGUCAAACUUGGCCUCCACCCUCUACACCAGCCGUCCUUCUCGUGGCACUCUUUACUUCUCUGCUGGGUUCAGUAAUUCGUUUUGGUGGCCACACAGAAAUCAAAGACAAUAUUCAUUAUUAUGGGGCUUAUUAGGGAAGUAACAGGCUACAAUUUAGGUUCAGGAACACACAGGAAAAACUUUUCGAUUAGGACAGCCUUUUCCCAGCGGUGCUUGCAGGCAGACCUUUCCCUGGCCCUUGGCCUCUGCCCUGCUCAAGCAAGUGUUACAAAGCUGUACUCCGCUAGCAAACCUCCUGUCCAAAGGCACUUGUCUUUCUCAGUCCUCACUGUCCCCUGCUGAUCUCUCCCACCGCUAUUUCUCUGCCAUCUCCUCUCUCCCUCCUUCCCCCCCCCCCCCCCCGCCACCCCUGACUGCCUUCCUUGUUUUCUCUCUCCUCCUCCUGAUGCCUGGAGCUUCUCAACACAGGGAUCCCUGUCCAAAGGAUGUGCUCUGGAAUCCUCUCCUUGCUCAUUCCAGGUCCAGCAGGAUGGCAAAACUGACCAGUUCCCUUGAUGGGCCACAAUUACCCUAUUUGCAUAGUCUCACCCAGUCACUUGCAUGGGAGUUACAAGACCAUGGUGAGAAAGGCCACACAAAAGCCAUCCAUCUCACCUUACAUAGAAUGUGGAGACUGCUAUAAACUAAUUGGGCAUAUUUUCCUCCAAGUUGUCAUCUUCAAUAAUCCCACCUCUUAUUUGAUGACACUGAGUAGUUAUUUUUGAACAACUUUUUUGGGGGAGGGAGAAUGGGGCUACAGAGAUUUUUUUUUUUUUAAUUUUAAAUUUUUAUUGUGCUUUAAGUGAAAGUUUUUACAAAUCAAGUCAGUCUCUCAACACAAAAAUUCAUAUACACCUUGCUAUAUACUCCUAAUUGCUCCCCCCCAAUGAGACAGCUCACUCCUUCCCUCCACUCUCUCUUUACGUGUCCAUUCUGCCAGCUUCUGACCCCCUCUGACCUCUCAUCUCCCCUCCAGAUAGGAGAUGCCAGCAUAGUCUCAAGUGUCCGCCUUAUCUAAGAAGUUCACUCCUCACCAGCAUCCCUCCAACCCAUUGUCCAGUCCAAUCCAUGUCUGAAGAGUUGGCUUCGGGAAUGGUUCCUGUCCUGGGCCAACAGAGGGUCUGGGGGCCAUGACCACCGGGGUCCUUCUAGUCUCAGUCAGACCAUUAAGUUUGGUCUUUUUAUGAGAAUUUGGGGUCUGCAUCCCACUGCUCUCCUGCUCCCUCAGGGGUUCUCUGUUGUCUUCCCUGUCAGGGCAGUCGUCGGUUGUAGCUGGACACCAUCUAGUUCUUCUGGUCUCAGGAUAAUGUAGUCUCUGGCUUAUGUGGCUCUUUCUGUCUCUUGGGCUCGUAAUUACCUUGUGUCCUUGGUGUUCUUCAUUCUCCUUUGAUCCAGGUGGGUUGAGACCAGAGAUUGUCUUUUUAUUAAUAGCAAACUGAAGUUUUGUUCCAAAAUGUUUCCAGUUUGUCUUUUUUAUUGCAUCAUAUGUAGAUAUAGAUGCAGAUUUCCUGGAAGGGUUAUUGGUUUCAGUGUUGACAUGUUCAUUUUCCAUGUGUUCAGAGAGUCUUUGGACUAGAGUACAAACGAUUCUGCUUUGGUCUGAAUAAUUGUUACUUUUUCUUCCUUCUGAGUGUCUGUAGAUAUGGAAAAAAUACUUUCUAAGUAUGUCCUUAUUUGAUCAAUAAUCUAAAAUUAGCAUAUAACUUUGGGGUACAUGUUGAGACACAGGUAAAAAAUAGUCUGUAUGUAAAAUAACACAAAAUAGACAAAUAGUGGAAUAUUAAAAACCAGUAUUAUAAGUACUGUUCAAGACACUUGGGGCCUCACCUUCAAACUCCAGAAUUUCUAGGGUGCAACUUGUGCUCUAAACUGUAUAGUUAGUAAUCUCUCACCACCUUUGGCUAUGCCAGACUCAUUUUUGUAUUUCAGUAACAGAAAUUACAAAGCCCUAACCAUUUAUGCAUAGACAUUUCAGUCUUAAAAAACUGAACAAUAGUGUUUACUUUGCUGUAAAACCAAAUGAGUUGGUCUCUCGGUUGGUUCAGAAAGGAGUUUUUUUUCACUCCUCCUUUCUCACUACAGAGAAGAUUACACCCAAGGAAACAGUUCUAGGUCAGAUUUCCACAUCGCAUUUUCCUGAACACCUGUAAGUGAUUUAUGAGACAGUUUUUAAAUGCAGUAUCUUCCAUUUUUUGCAGUGAUGCAGUCAGAAAAAAAACAGAUGUUAUUAUAUACGCACAUACCAUGGAACACAGUGGUGGCAUAGUGGUUAAGAGGUGCUUGUUGGAUAAAACCUAUGAUAACGUACCUUCUAAGUGACCUGUUGUUAGUUGCCGGAAGCCACAAUGAGAUCAGACUGUUGCGAUCCAUGGGGUUUUU